CCAAGUACAAAAGAUGUUCAGAGCUUAAUGACAUCUUAGCAGCUCAGCACCACCAACAACAACAACGACUACAACCACAAGAAGCCAGGGCCUGAGGGAUCCUUGUCCGUAGGGACUAAAUGAAUUUCCAAGCCUGCUGGGAUUGAAGAGUUCCUAGGGAACUAGAGAAGUUCCAAGGCUGCUGGCCUUGAAGAGUUCUUAGUGAACUGAAGUUCCAAGGCUGCUGGCCUUGAAGGAAUCUAAGUGAUUCAGGGUGCUGCCCUUCCUUAGUGGAAAUCCUGCUAGUUGAAAGCAGAAGAGU
rnacentral:lncRNA from 1 species